rnacentral:misc_RNA from 1 species
CUGAAGAGGAGAAUCAACGGCGAAGAUGAAACGAAGAGGGACAAUGGCAAUUGGGUUAUGGAGCAAAAUGGGUUUGAAUUUGAUGGAGCGGAAGUAACACCACAUGGUUGAUACUUGAAGGUACCAGGUUGAAGAAAGAUAUAGGUCUGUUCCUUACACAAGGAAAAUUGCCAUUGCCGCCGAAAACCCAGUGUGAAGGUUCUGGUUCGG